AAGCUCGUAGUUGAAUUUCCGCAUCUAUAGGUCGGUCAUGUCUAUAGUAUGUACUGGCUUUACUGAUUCCUCCUUCUUGAUGAACUGUAAUGUCAUUAAUUUGGUGUUGCAUGGAUCAGGACUGUUACUUUGAAAAAAUUAGAGUGUUUAAAGCAGGCAUACGCUUGAAUACAUUAGCAUGGAAUAAUGAAAUAGGACGUUCGAUCCUAUUUUGUUGGUUUCUAGGAUUGACGUAAUGAUUAAUAGGGAUAGUUGGGGGCAUUAGUAUUCAAUUGUCAGAGGUGAAAUUCUUGGAUUUAUUGAAGACUAACUACUGCGAAAGCAUUUGCCAAGGAUGUUUUCAUUAAUCAAGAACGAAAGUUAGGGGAUCGAAGACGAUCAGAUACCGUCGUAGUCUUAACCAUAAACUAUGCCGACUAGGGAUCGGAUGAUGUUAUUUUUAAUGACUCAUUCGGCGCCUUACGGGAAACCAAAGUGUUUGGGUUCCGGGGGGAGUAUGGUCGCAAGGCUGAAACUUAAAGGAAUUGACGGAAGGGCACCACCAGGGGUGGAGCCUGUGGCUUAAUUUGACUCAACACGGGGAAA
rnacentral:rRNA from 1 species